CCCGGGUCCGCCUGCGCCUGCGCCCGGCCCCGAGCGGCGGCGUUGUGUGCGGCCAGUGCCCGUGAGGGGCUGCGCCCUCAGCGGCGCCGCCGGGGCGGGCCCGGCCGCACGGAGAGGCGCUGCGGGAACCGGGGCUGCAGGGCUACUACCGUCCCCCGGGCUGCGAGGAGUGAGAGACACGGAGAGUUUGUUUGCAGAAACAAGCUCGGAGGGACAAGUCGAGAGGCGGCCAUGUGUCAGAUGCCAUAGCAGGAGAUGCCCAUCUGUCUUCCAGCCCACCACGUCCUAAAGAUAACCUUGGAUGUCUGGACAGACUUCACAGCAGCCUCAAAGCUGACAGAUGCAAGAGGGGUCCAAAUGCAUCAGAAAAAGAAGUCUGAAAAUCUUUCAGAUAAGAAAAGUCUCAAAGGAACAGUCUGCUUUUGCUAA
rnacentral:lncRNA from 1 species